GUUUUUUGGUUGUCAGUGCAAAUGUCAAUUGAAUGAUGGGUAGUGCGAGCAGGUCAGCAACACGGAAUGAAACAAAACGGAUCGAGGAGUGAGAAAACGGCAAGUAGAAAAGGGUGGAGCAGAAAAAAGGAGAGAGAAGAAGUGUAAGGCUUUGUUGGCUGAAAGUGGGAAAGGUGCAAAUAUUGUGGAGUUAUUCUCGAAAAAACCUGUGCCUGGCGAAGAGCCUAGUGGGACUUGGAUGAUAUGAUUGAUAGAGUGGCAGAGAAAAGCAAACUAUUGCGCUACCUGCUACUGUAACUACAUAAAGGUAAAACAUUUAUUUAUCAUGUUCUGGUUCAGCUAUUACAUUAUGUGCUGUGGCAGUGUAAUGUUUAUGUGUAAUGUUAUGUUUCUUUAUUGUUCCCACAAAGACAAAUGUGGCCUCUGUCUGUCUAGAUUGCCAGGACCUCUUUUGCGAGUCAGCCACUGGUCACAGCUCAAACUCUUCCUCUCUUGACAGUUUACUGUCUGAACCCACUGGAACCUCUGAGCGUAAGCCAGACCCACCUUGAAAAGAUCAAGACCAGAAGGUGAGAACUGACAUGGUCCCGGCAAGAUCCAGUUUGAGGCUGGUUCCACCAGAGCAGUUGGUGACACUGGUUAGACUGGUUUCUCUGUGAGCCUCUACUCCUUCAGAUCUGGAUUUACUUAUCUCAUAAUCUCUAUAACAAAGUUGGUUUUUUGGUGAUGUAGAGCAAAAAUAUAAUUUGUAGAUUUUGUAAUUUUGUAGAUAUCAUUCCAUGUUUUCAAGUUCAUUGCUCUGCCAGUUGUUUUGUUGGGAUCUCCAUUGACUACAUUAUACAUUAUUUCUUUUUGAUUUUUAAGUUCAUGUGAAAAAUACUUUUCGCAAUUCACACAGCAGGAUCAGAACUUGUUAAUACCUUCAUUUGUAAAUAACAGGGGCAAUGGGGGACUGGGCUGAGCAAUAGACGUGUGAACAAGUACUUGGGCUGUGAUGAGAGCCAGGAGAGCAUGGGUCUUUAAGUAACCCCCAGUUCACUGGAGGGGACAGAAUUUCAGAGACCUACAGAUGUCGGCAUUAUGGAGGAAAACUAAACACUGAGCAGCUCGAGAAGCUUUGUAGCAGACAACAGGUUGUGUCUGUUAUCAGGACACACUUUUGCUUCAGCAAAGAGUAGACGACACUGAGCUGAAAUAAGUCUGAUAUUUUCACUGCAGAGUCACUGUCUGAGCCACCAAAAUUAAAACCACCAACACCAGGGGCUUCAACUCUUUGAGCACUAUCACCUACCUGAAUGUAAACCCUGCAGCGCUCACUAAGAAAAGAGAGCAAAACACGACAACAGAGAGCGAUGACUCCACAAAGUAGCUGAUGUUACCAUACACAUUAAGUUUACAACAACUCUUAGACUUAAUUAAUUCAAAAAUAACUAAUCUGAUUCUGAUGAAUUCAGGGGCUGAGACCAAGCAGCAAGCUCUGGUCCUGAGAAACAAAGCCCAUGUUAAGGUGUUAUAACUGCAGUUACCUGGGUCCACGAGAGGCUGUUUGCAAAAGUACCUGAAACCGCAAACACAUUCAUUCAAAAAAGCCCAUCUUGAGAGCAGAAAUAGACACUUUUGCAGCCUGGUUCAGAGCAUAGUUCUGGUUGGAAUAACUCAGAGCUCCCACAGCGUCCUGGCACAGUGGACAUGACUAACAGGUGAGCACACUGUGGUUGUCAGCAAGGAUGUCAGCGAGGUGGCUAAAGACCUGCCUCAGCAUUGGCUCUUCACCUCUUGUCAGGUUGAAAAUUGGGCUAAGUUAGCGUUUCUUAUUUCCUGGCGGGCACUUGCAGGCUUCAAAUCACUGCUCUGUUAAUGAAUGGGUGAAAUCAAGAUGACAUCUGUAGUCCGGACAAGUAAAAUACUCCGUAAAGUUACACCAAUACUGCUUGCCUCAGCAUGUGUAUCAAAGAUAAGCAAGAAAAAUGUCUUCCUGUGAAUAAAUUCCCCCUCUUAUAAAGUAUAAGAUGAGAAAAGAAAAGAAAAUUAUAAAAAUUUAAAAUUUUAGUUUGAAAGGGACAUUUCGUAGUUUAAUAAUUUUUAGAUUUAUUUCAUUUAAUUUAAGUUUAAGUAUAGUGAAAGUAGCCAAGUUAUUUAGACUUGAAAUAUUGAGAUGAAAAUAUUGAAUGGUUAUUUUAGAGUGGAAUUUAAUAACAGGCAUAAAAAGGAAACUUUUGAAAUGUCACAAAAUGAAUAUUUGGUGGAUAGCACAAAUACGAGAAAAGCAGCUGAGAAACUAUGGACAAUUUUAUGAAUAUCAUUGCAGAAAUGAUAAUAUGAAAGAUUAAUAACUGAACCUGAGAUUAUUUUAUCCUCUCUACUGUCUGUGUUCUGCUCGGUCCAACUUCAAGCAAGAUGGCAACGACGUCUCGGAAACAUAGAGACUUUACUGGUUAGCCAAUGGGAGACAAACUGGUGACGGCACUGUCAGGGAUUGGAGAGCUGCUGGGGAGUAGGCUGGCAGAUCAGGGCUUUGACAAGGUGAACAACACACACAUACAUGAAGUUUCCUUAACUGUUCAUUCAUAAAAGUAAAUUCAAUGUGUGAACAUUGUUUGGCUGGAGUAUUCAGUCAGCAGAAGCCUUUUGUUUGUCAACAGUCAUCAUUAAAUAAAGAGGGCACAGCUGGGUUCCUCCAAAAUUGAAUGUGUCUUCUCUGUCUGUUUUUUGUGUGUCUCUUUCAGGCCUUUGUGGUCCUGGGUCAGUUCCUGCUCCUAAAAAAAGACACUGAGAUGUUCUCUGAUUGGCUAAGAGAUGCCACAGGUGCAAACAUGCAUCAAGCUUUCUCAUGUGCCCAGUGUUUGAGGGACUGGUGCGCCUCCUUUCUUUGAGAGACUCCGCCCCUUCUUGUUCUUCCACUAUCAGCCUGCUGUUUUCUCCUGAGCUGGUUUCUGCCUAAUUGCUGCUGUGUGAAUGUUUCCAGAUGAACUGUCAAACACCCAUUGACACCGCAUCCGUAACGGCUGCGAAAAGGCCAUAUACGCCGAUCGCAGCUGAUCGUUUCCAUUCUAUGGAAGUGAUUGUGACUCAUAUCUCAAAUUCAAAAGCAUUAGCAGAAAUGCUUUUUCAUUUCA
rnacentral:lncRNA from 1 species